GCCCCCCAGCGUUAGGCCCGCCUGCCCGCGGGAGCCUGCUCACUCCCUGCCGGCCUGGGCCCGGCCAGAGCAGCACAGCUGGGCGGGGCAGCGACCCCGAACGGCUCCACCCAGAAGUGGUUCCCAGAGCAGGGCCCACCUGGGCGAGAGAGAGCGGAGAGGGGGCCUCCAGCAGCACUGGGGGGGGGGCCGGGAUCACAGAGGUGCGGGAGGGUCAGGGCCUCGGGCUUUGGAGCUGGCCCGGCGCCCAGCCCACUCCUCAGGCUCCUGCAGCGGCAGCCCCUGCCCCUGCCCUCGCACCCAGCCCCCAGCCUGCUCACAGGAAACAGCUCCUUCUGCCUGGGCAGGGCUCGCCCGGGGAGGGGCCGAGGACCUCACCAUUCUCAAAGCCCAUGGCAGGCGGAGGAGCCCCCACCGCCCCUCGGGAACCCGGCCCUGAGGUCAGACACGGCUGCAGCAGACGCCGAGUGCGGCUGGCGACACCCGGACGAUGGACGCCCACAGGCACGAGGACAUGAGCCAGGGUCACGUCCAGUCCCAGAGCCGGGAGGCUCUGCCGAGGGAGCCCGGACCUGCGGGAGCCCGGCCGGGGACCGUCCAGACAGAGCGGGUGGAGCCGGCUCCAGGAGGAGAGGUCAGAGCAUUCAUUUAUUCACCUGGUAUUCCCUGGUCCCGGCCCAGGGCCCAGCAGGGCCGCUUCGGCGCGAGCCCCCGCCCACGCGAGCCCACGCGCAGCCCCAGGAGGCCCCAGCAUCCGCCGCCCCGGGGCCCAGCAGGGCAGCUUCCGCGCGAGCCCCUGCCCACGCGAGCCCACGCGCACCCCGAUGGCCCCGGCAUCGGCCGCCCCGGGGCCCAGCAGGGCAGCUUCCGCGCGAGCCCCUGCCCACGCGAGCCCACGCGCACCCCGAUGGCCCCGGCAUCGGCCGCCCCGGGGCCCAGCAGGGCAGCUUCCACGCGAGCCCCCGCCCACGCGAGCCCACGCGCAGCCCCAGGAGGCCCCAGCAUCCGCCGCCCCGGGGGCCCAGCAGGGCAGCUUCCGCGCGAGCCCCCGCCCACGCGAGCCCACGCGCAGCCCCAGGAGGCCCCAGCAUCGGCCGCCCCGGGGCCCAGCAGGGCCGCUUCCGCGCGAGCCCCCGCCCACGCGAGCCCACGCGCAGCCCGAUGGCCCCGGCAUCGGCCGCUCUGGUGAGAGGCAGGUACCUGGCCGGAAGGAGAGACCUGGCCUCUGGGAGCAGAAGGACCGCGGCGUGGGAGAGGCGCGGCUCCCGCGUUGACCAGGCGAGCGGGGACCGGGGCCGGCCUGCUCCUGCCGACAGCCGAGGGCGGCCAGGGCUGCCCGGCCGCGUUCUCAGGUAGCCAGGUCACCUGGUCAGCCCGCGAUGGCGAGAGGGGCUGGACGGGAACGUCCGUCGAUGGAAGCCAGCGCACCUGCGGCGCCGGCCUCCCGCGUGGGCGCCGGUUCGAGACCCGGCUGCUCCACUUCCCAUCCAGCUCCUGCUGCGGCCCGAGUGUGGGAACCCGCACCCGCGUGGGAGACCCUGGCCUUGGCCUGGCGCAGCCCAGCCGUUGUGGCCAUUUGGGGAGUGGACCAGCGGAUGGACGACCUUAAUAAAGAAAUCCACCCAGAACCAUCAAGUCGCUCUUUUAUCCGGAAGCCAUGUCGGAACCUCGGGGCGCCCACCCUCAAGGGAUCGGCUUGUCCCGGGUGGCCCCACACCUGCCCGGCGGAGGACAGACUCACAGCCUGGAGCGGGCGUGUGGUGCACGACUCGCUCGCGCCCCAGCCCGCAGGAAACCGCUAGGAGGAGUGGGACGCCGGAAACCAUUCUCUGAGGAACCGUCUCCCCGGAAGGAAGCAAACCGGAAGUCUGCUUCAGGCGCGCCCCCAAUCAUCAUUGGGUGGAAUUCCCGGAAGAAGGCGGGCCCGGCAGAAUCCUGAUUCUGCAUCGGUUAAAACCUAUGAGGUUGGAGGAGGGGGCGGGACAUGGCUCUUCCUGCAUUUUCAUUGGCUAAAAAAAAAAAAAAUCUCUGUUCGUCCUCGGAUCCUCAUUGGCUAAAGUUGGUGUUGACUUACAGUCCUCAGCGUCCCUCGCUGGCUGAUGGGAGAGAGAACGCCUUGCCCGGUCCCCCGGGUCAACUCUCCAUUUUAAACAGAGUCGAGACCGAGGCAGUCGUUUACUCACGGAGGCCUCCGCGUCUCGCUGAACCUCAAGGUGUAGGGACGCAGAACCGCUGAUGGAGCCCGGAACGAUGUCUCCGCGGAACCUUUGAGACAAAGCGUCGGGGGAGCUCUUUGAGGAACGGACCGCGGCGGGCUCGGCGCGACCGGCAGGGAUGGCGGCGGGGCCGACGGACGCGCGGCCGGGGGCCGCCGUCGCUUUGGAGCUGAAACGCGAGCGGCGCAUGGUGUGUGUGGAGUACCCCGGCGUGGUGCGCGACGUGAACAAGAUGCUGUCCACUCUGGGCGGCGAGGAAGGCGUCUCUCGAAGCUACACGGACCCCACCAAGAGGCUGGAGCUGUACUUCCGGCCCAAGGACCCGUACUGCCACCCGGUGUGCGCCAACCGCCUCAGCGCCAGCAGCCUGCUGCUCCGCGUGCGGAGGAGGACGCGGCGGCCGGGGGCCGGGGCGCAGCCCGAGAUCACAUUCGACAUGGAGGUGGUCGGCAUCGUCCCUGUCGUCUACAAGUUCCAGGGUGAGUGGAGGCCCCCCUUCGGGGCCCGCUGUCCCAGCUGCCCGCGCCAGCCACGUGGGCCACCUGCACAGGCACGUGGCUCGUUCCGGGGCAGCGCCCUGAGCCCGCAGGCCCGUCGCCGUUGAGUUCUGCAGUCUCUGGUGUGACCUUGACGGGGGCACCCCCAGUGUACGCCUCUCAGUUUUGGCUUUGCUUUUGUUUUUGUGUUUUAAAGAUUCACGUAUUUGAAAGGCAGGGCAGCUUGGAGCAACGUGCAUCGCUGCUUCACCCCCUGCAUUAGCCAGGGCUAGGCAGGCUGAAGCUGGGAGCCCACCUCCAUCUGGCCUCCCUGGGUCUCCCGGGGGCCCUGGGCCGUCAUGCACGGCCUUGCCUGGCAUUAGCAAGAAGCUGCGUCGGAAGUAGAGUGGCUGGGACUUGAGCUGGCGCUCCAGCUGCGGGGAGUGGGGGGUUGCCAGCACAGCAGGUGGCACUGCGCCACACCAGCUGCCCCCGCCCCACCCCAGGCUUUCUGACCUCCUCCCGGUCUUGACCUUGACCUUGGCUGCUGCCGGGCUUGCCUUCCUGCCCCCCCUUCCCAGCCUGACUCAGCCCCGAGCCCUCCUGGCAGACUGCGGGUGUCCUGCGGAGGCUCAGUCAGUCUGCCCCCUGCAGGGAGUCCCGGUGAGCAGGCAGCACGGUGCCGGGAGGGACAGUGGGGUGCGGAUCCACAGACCCGGCGGCUGGGCCUGCCUGAGCUCUGCCUGUUGCUCUGAGCGUCCCUUGGCCCCCGAGGCCUUGUCUGUGCCGUGGGGGUCCCUCAGGCCCUCGCAGCCCGGGGGCUGACGCCCGGGAACGGGCAGGGCCCGGCACCGCAGUGUCGGAGAUGCCUGUGGUCACUGUGGUUCUCAGGCAUCGUCUGAGGGGCGGGGAUUGAGGAAGGAAGAGGAAGCCGGCAGGAGAGGAGUGGUGAGCGGAAGGCCGGAGCUGGGGUCAGCCUGCCCGAGAGGGCCGCGUGCCGCGCCAGCGUGACACCGUGGGGCUGUCUCCCCGGGAGCUGCCCCGGGCUGUGCACGUGCGCUGGCCGGAGGUGAGGAGCCCCCGCCUCCCGGGCUGCUUCACAGCGGCACAGGUGCUUCCCGCGCACGUUGUGCCUUUGUGUGUGUGUGUGUGUUGUUGAAAGAUUUGUUUACUUGUUUGAAAGGCAGAAUGGGCGGGGGGGGAUAGAUCUUGCAUCCAAUGGCUCACUCCUGAUGGCCCAGGCUGGGUCAGGGCGAAGCCAGAGCCUGGAACUUCAUCCAGUGGACCUGGGCACUCGGGCCACCUUCCACUGCCUUCCCGGGCACGUUAGCAGGGAGCUCGAUCAGAGGUGGAGCAGCCAGGACUCGAACCAGCGCUGUGGGACGCCGGCCUCACUAGUGGCAGCUUAGCCCUGUGAGCCGCAGCACCAGCACGCUGCGUCGUCUUUAUUUAAAAAAUAUAUUGUUUAUUUACUUGAAAGGCAGAGUGACAGAGAGAUCUUACCUCCACUGGUUCACUCCCCAGCUGGACACAGUGGCCAUGACUGGGCCAGGCUGAACCCAGGAGCUAGGAACUGAUUCCAGGUCUCCCACCUCGGCGGGGGCCGAGCCUUGAGCCGUCUUCACUGCUUUCCCAGGUGCAUCACCGGGGGCUG